UCGCAAUCUUCUUUAUCGAUUUGAACUCUCAAAAAAAAUUACGCUGUUAUCCCUAAGGUAACUUUUUCUUUUAGUCUAAACAAUAGGAUCAAAAAAUCAUUAAUUAAUGAUUAAAUAAAAAAAAAGUUUAUUAAAUUUUUCUGUCACCCCAACUAAACAAAUUUAUAUUUACAAAAUUUUUAUUCCAAUAAUUUAUUAACAACAAAUUUGUAAAGCUCUAUAGGGUCUUCUUGUCUUCUAUAAUUAUUUAAGCUUUUUCACUUAAAAAUAAAAUUCUAAAAAAAUUUUCUUGAGAGAGCAGGUUUCUCAUCAAUCCCUUCAUUCCAGCUUCUAAUUAAGAAACUAAUUAUUAUGCUACCUUUGCACGGUCAAAAUACCGCGGCCAUUUAAAAUUAACUCAUUGGGCAGGAGCGACCUUAAAUUAUAAUCAAAAGGAC
rnacentral:rRNA from 1 species